GCCGAAUUAGCUCAGUUGGUAGAGCAUCUCAUUCGUAAUGAGGGGGUCACAAGUUCGAUUCUUGCAUUCGGCA
rnacentral:tRNA from 4 species